UGAAAACAGCUAGCUAUGAGAGAGUAUGCAUAGAUAUUCACGUUAAAAACGCCUCAUGGUAUAAAUACAUACUUGCCUAGUAAAAUACUACCAAAUAUGCAAUAAAACAUUGAUAGUAGUUCCCUAGAGUGUGAAAUUGUAUGUUUUUCCUUAUGCUUAACUCCCUUCCCUAAUGUUUUUAACAAUGAAAAUGAGCAAAAAACAGGAAAUAUAUAUAU